AUUUAUGAAUAAAAAAAUAAUUUCUGUAUAAAAAAACUAAGUUUCCUUAUCUAGUUAAUUUCCAAAAACAAUGACAUUAAGAAAAAAAUCAUAAUCACUAAAGACACUAACUGUUGACAAAUUUAAAUGCUUGUUUAGGGGGUAUGUGCGGGGAGGGAGCAGGGAACAGCCAGAAGAUAAGGUGCAGUAAUUUCAUGUCCAACGACGUCAUCAACAAUAUAGCUGUAAUAAAACUGACACUACUAAACCCAUAAACAGAGGGCAGCUUGUUUAUGACUUUUUUCCCACCCCCUCUUCCCCGAUCCUCCUCCUUUUUUUACGCAAUUCAGUGAUGAAAAGAAAUUGUAAAAACGAACACGUGAUUGCUUUGAGGGUAAAACGUCUUGGAUUGAGGUAGGAAGAAAGAAAUCUUAGAAUUUUUAUAAUUAUUUUUUUUUAAAUGUUUUCUUGUGUUAAGAGAUGUUUCGCGUUUAUUUGAAAUUAAGUUGUGUUACUGUCGAUCGAAUAUUGUGGAUUAUUACUAAAGGAAUACAAUCAAUACAAAAAGGGCACUUGAAGGUCUGAAAUUUCAGGAUCAGAAGAAUUUGGAAAAUAUCUUCAAUAUCUCCGAAAUGUUACAAGAGCAACACAAGAAGAAUUGGAAUUUGACUAAGAGAGAAAUUUCAUCAACAGAAUCAGCAUAUCCCAUCGUAAAGUGAA